CAGGAACCGAAGGAUCAAACUUAAACUUCUGAGCGAACUGACUGCACCCACACCAUUUCAAAAGCCUUUACGUCCCAAAUCGAGCGCGCUUUUGGGGGAAUGAAGGAGCAUUUUUACACGAGAACCGCGCAGCGCUGUAGCCUGACCCCGGAACAGAAGGAAGCUGAAUAUAUAUUCACACUUAAGUUACUACAAGGUCUACUUCAAGGACAGACUCAAG
rnacentral:lncRNA from 1 species